GAUGAACGCUGGCGGCGUGCCUAAUACAUGCAAGUCGAGCGAACAGACGAGGAGCUUGCUCCUCUGACGUUAGCGGCGGACGGGUGAGUAACACGUGGAUAACCUACCUAUAAGACUGGGAUAACUUCGGGAAACCGGAGCUAAUACCGGAUAAUAUAUUGAACCGCAUGGUUCAAUAGUGAAAGACGGUUUUGCUGUCACUUAUAGAUGGAUCCGCGCCGCAUUAGCUAGUUGGUAAGGUAACGGCUUACCAAGGCAACGAUGCGUAGCCGACCUGAGAGGGUGAUCGGCCACACUGGAACUGAGACACGGUCCCGACUCCUACGGGAGGCAGCAGUAGGGAAUCUUCCGAAAUGGGCGAAAGCCUGACGGAGCAACGCCGCGUGAGUGAUGAAGGUCUUCGGAUCGUAAAACUCUGUUAUUAGGGAAGAACAAAUGUGUAAGUAACUAUGCACGUCUUGACGGUACCUAAUCAGAAAGCCACGGCUAACUACGUG
rnacentral:rRNA from 1 species